rnacentral:rRNA from 1 species
GCGGAGGAAAAGAAACCAACAGGGAUUGCCCUAGUAACGGCGAGUGAAGCGGCAACAGCUCAAAUUUGAAAGCUGGCCUUCGGGUCCGCAUUGUAAUUUGUAGAGGAUGCUUUGGGUGAAACGCCAGUCUAAGUUCCUUGGAACAGGACGUCAUAGAGGGUGAGAAUCCCGUAUGUGACUGGAAAUGUUAACCUAUGUAAAGCUCCUUCGACGAGUCGAGUUGUUUGGGAAUGCAGCUCUAAAUGGGAGGUAAAUUUCUUCUAAAGCUAAAUAUUGGCGAGAGACCGAUAGCGCACAAGUAGAGUGAUCGAAAGAUGAAAAGCACUUUGGAAAGAGAGUUAAAAAGCACGUGAAAUUGUUGAAAGGGAAGCGCUUGCAAUCAGACUUGUUUAAACUGUUCGGCCGGUCUUCUGACCGGUUUACUCAGUUUGGACAGGCCAGCAUCAGUUUCGGCGGCCGGAUAAAGGCUCUGGGAAUGUGGCCUUCACUUCGGUGAAGGUGUUAUAGCC